rnacentral:rRNA from 1 species
CGUUCUUAGUUCGUGGAGUGAUCUGUCUGCUUAAUUGCGUUUCACUAAGGGCCCAUAAAUUCAAGGUAUGUUAGCUAUCGUUUCUCAAUUGACCCCUUGUCUUCGAUAAGCGCGUGUCUUUUAGAGUUUAAACAUUGCGCAUGCUGUUGGGUCCUGAAAGCAACGAACGUGACCGCAACGUCUUAUUGCCUUUAUCUUGCUAUAUUUUAAUUUAAUUAAAAAUAGCUAACAGAGGCUAAUUUAAAAUUAGACGGACCGCUGUACUUUUCUUAAACCAGAGGAAGGUUGCGGCAAUAACAGGUCUGUGAUGCCCUUAGAUGUUCCGGGCUGCACACGUGCUACAAUGAUCAGUACAGUGAGCAUCUCAAUAUUAUACACCGUAUUAAGCGCUUAGUUGCGAUUAUUGGCUCAUUAUUGGGUCUUUUAAUUGUAUUUCUAAUGCGCGCGGUAAAGCCUGCUUCGAGAGUAAGUGGGUAAUCCAUUGGAAGUAAUGAUUUCUCUUUUUAUAGCACACCUAUAUACGGCAUUCAUUCCCGGGACGACUAGUUUCGUCUUUUUUGUGCGAAUGUAAUGUAUUCUUUAUCCGUAUGUGCGAUUGUCAAUUCAU